rnacentral:rRNA from 1 species
UACGAAGGGUGCAAACGUUGCUCGGAAUUACUGGGCGUAAAGCGCACGUAGGCGGAUCUUUAAGUCAGGGGUGAAAUCCUGGAGCUCAACUCCAGAACUGCCUUUGAUACUGAGGACCUUGAGUUCGGGAGAGGUGAGUGGAACUGCGAGUGUAGAGGUGAAAUUCGUAGAUAUUCGCAAGAACACCAGUGGCGAAGGCGGCUCACUGGCCCGAUACUGACGCUGAGGUGCGAAAGCGUGGGGAGCAAACAGG